rnacentral:rRNA from 1 species
CAAAAACAUCGCCUUUUGACAAAUUAUAAAAGGUCAAGCCUGCCCAGUGACAUUGUUCAACGGCCGCGGUAUCCUAACCGUGCGAAGGUAGCGUAAUCACUUGUUCUUUAAAUGAGGACUAGUAUGAACGGCUUCACGAAAGCUAUACUGUCUCCUUUAUCCAAUCAGUUAAACUAAUCUCCCCGUGAAGAAGCGGGGAUGCCCAUAUAAGACGAGAAGACCCUAUGGAGCUUUAAAUAUCUUUAGACAUUUGAAUAUCACAAUUCUUAAAACCACUAAAUUCAUCAUUUUGUCUUAAGUUUUAGGUUGGGGCGACCACGGAGAAAAAAUUAACCUCCACGUGGAAAGAAACUCCCUUCUAGGCAAAAAGCUACAUCUUUAUGCAUCAACAUAUUGACCUUAAUUGACCCAAUUGCUUGAUCAACGAACCAAGUUACCCUAGGGAUAACAGCGCAAUCCGCUUUAAGAGCUCCUAUCGACAAGCGGGCUUACGACCUCGAUGUUGGAUCAGGGCAUCCCAGUGGUGCAGCAGCUACUAAAGGUUCG